AGGUGCGAUCAUACCGCCAUCGGAUUCCAUCAGAACUCCACAGCUAAGCGUGCUUGGGGGAGAGUAGUACUAGGAUGGGUGACCUUCUGGGAAGUCCUCGCGUUGUACCUC
rfam:Lupinus angustifolius cultivar Tanjil chromosome LG02, whole genome shotgun sequence.